CCCGCGGCUUCCCCUGGACGGGAAUCAAAAAGUCCGCAAGCUCUGCAUUCACUCCUGCUGCCUCUUGGGACAAGGGGCAUUUCCAAACCACUGACACAGGCAGCUGUGGUGACAGGUGAAACAAGAAAUCCACUCCUCCUGCUCUUCGUGAGGGCUUUACCUCUGACGUAACUUUCCAGCCGUCAGGUUUCCCCCUGCUGUUCUGUUCUGAACCAAAACGAAAAAUGCCCAGCGUUCUUCACUUCUCCCGAGAUACGCUGCCACCUGUGUGAUGCCAUCCACCCCAGAACUUCCUGCCUUUCACCAGAGGCCCAAAAGGAGCGUGGUGAUACACACAAAGCUUUUAGGCUUAGAAAAAUGCCCUCCGAUCUCACAGCCAAAGACAGAGCUGAAUUAAGAAGGCCAAGUCCACCUCAAGCUUAUAAUGUGAAUCAGCCACCUAUGGUCUUCUAGGCAGCUCCGUGCACAGGGCGGCACCAGCAUCCGAGCUGCCCAAAGUGUCAGCUUUUAAAAGAAGGGGGCAAGAGAGCAAGCUAGAAGCCCCUCUCCAAGACAUUCCUUUGUGUCUGUGCACAGUUCCUUUUACCUAAGGUUCCCCUGACCAAACUUGCUUCUCAUUUCAACCAAAGUCUUUCUGUACCUGGGCAUAACUCACCAGCCCAGACCUGAACCACCCCAUGCAUGGAUCUGUUUCUUCUCUGGGGAGGAGAGGGCUGUGUGCCGAACCUCAGGGCUGUGACAAAACUUUAAAAAGCAGGUUCCUAGAAACAGUUUCAUUCCUGAAGUGUAAAGGUCACUGCAACAGCACAAACAAAAUGGAGGCAGCGGAGGUUGCAGCGGCCUUCCAAAGCCACUCAGUGCCUGACAAUCUAUGGGUAAAAGGAAAACCGCAUCAAGGGCAGAAAAGCCUCGAUCUGCUACGGCACAGGAAGAGGAUCACAAGCCAAGUCAGUUUAUCCAAGUCACAAUGCCCCCAAGACUUUUUGCAGAGGGAUUUUUGGUUCACACACAAAAUGACCAUGACAAACUGAGCAAAAUGAGCUCAGAGUCACCUUGAGGGACAUUUUCACCCAUUCUCUAUGCAAGGCUGCCCGGCGGGCUGCCAAGCCCACCGCCUCCUCAGAUGCAAACACACAUGGUGUACAAGUAAUGAGAAGCAGAAGCAAGCCACACGCUUUCACUGCUCACCUGUGCCUAGCCAGCACCUUGCCCUGCCCCGAUGUAGUGGAACAGGAGCCAGAACAGUCUUCCAGCACUCACCUAGACCUGGGACAUGAUCCCACAUCAAGGAUGGGCAAUGAGAUCUGUGCAAAGUGUGCAGAGAGCUUCUGAGCAUUCCCAGCAGAACUCUCAGCAGAAACUGGAAAGGUUUCCCAGAACUAUCAGUAACACACUCUCUGCUCGCUAUUCCAAGAAACUUUUCUGCCCUUUCAGCAGUGCCUUUCACCUGUGGCUAGUGCCCUCAAAGCACAUCCACUAGAACAGCAGGUGAAGGGAGUCUUGUGCCUCACGUUAAACCAGUCUGCUACAUAUCAGACAGGGCAAUGGGCAACCAAAAACAUUCCAUGGGACAAGCAGGCCCAGUUGUGCCCUUCGGUGGGAGCCUGAAGGUCACACUCUCCUCUGCUGGCUUUUAGCAUUACCCAACAGUUCUGUAACACAAUUUUUUUCCAACAGAUUUUCAACAUUUCACAGAAGUGUGGAAGUAACCCCUGGCCUGGCCUCGAGAGUGGGAUAAAUGACCCCAGGAAUGGGGCUGACAAAGAGGAAGCUUCUUUCUGUGCCCUUUGCAGGUCGCAGCUAAUGCACAUUCCUGCCGUGGAGUAAAACCCUCCCUAAGAAAUAAACCCACUUUCACACCA